GACGAAGGGGGCUAGCGUUGUUCGGAAUUACUGGGUGUAAAGCGCGUGUAGGCGGUUGCCAAAGUCGGGUGUGAAAGCCUUGAGCUCAACUCAAGAAUUGCACUCGAUACUUGGUGACUAGAGGACCGGAGAGGAUAGUGGAAUUCCCAGUGUAGUGGUGAAAUACGUAGAGAUUGGGAAGAACACCAGUGGCGAAGGCGGCUAUCUGGACGGUUUCUGACGCUAAGACGCGAAAGCGUGGGGAGCAAACAGG
rnacentral:rRNA from 1 species